rnacentral:pre_miRNA from 1 species
UGAAGAGCAUUGAUGUGUACACCCUCCGGUUACAUAUAUAAGGAAAAAACACUUUUUAGGUUCAUUCAUUUAAUGAAUGUAUCUAGUUGUUUUAAUGACUAGAUACAUUCAACUAGAUACAUUCAUUAAAUGAAAGAACCUAAAAAAUGUUUUUUGCUUAUAUAUGUGACCGGAGGGUGUAUGCCAUAUUUUACUCUGCCA